rnacentral:RNase_P_RNA from 1 species
CGAGUCGGCCGGGCGGUCGCGUCGGGAUGUCUCCGACGAGGAAGGUCCGGGCUCCACAAGGCAGGGUGGUCGGUAACGCCGACCCGGAGUGAUCCGCGGGACAGUGCCACAGAAAACAGACCGCCUUCGCGUUCUUCGCGGGGGUAAGGGUGAAACGGUGGUGUAAGAGACCACCAGCGCCCCAGGUGACUGGGGCGGCUAGGUAAACCCCACCCGGAGCAAGGUCAAGAAGGGCCCGCGAGAGCGGACCCGCGCAGGCGAUCGAGGGCAGCCGGUCCGAGGCCUGCGGGUAGACCGCUGGAGGCUGUCGGCAACGGCAGCCCUAGAUGGAUGGCCGCCACUCCGCGCGAGCGGAGAGACAGAACCCGGCCUACACGCCGACUCGUCCA